UACAGAGGAGCCAAGCGUUGUCCGGAUUGACUGGGCGUAAAGCGCACGCAGGCGGAUGCGCGCGUGGGGUGUGAAAUCUGGCCGCUUAACGGCCAGGCGCCAUCCCAUACGGCGCAUCUGGAGUGAUGCAGAGGUCGGUGGAAUUGCCGGUGUAGUGGUGGAAUGCGUAGAUAUCGGGAGGAACACCAGUGGCGAAGGCGGUUACCUGGAGCUUUGCUGACGCUGAUGCGCGAAAGCGUGGGGAGCGAUCCGG
rnacentral:rRNA from 1 species